CCCUGGAUGGGGAUACGUAGCGAAGUUACGCUAAUACCGCCUCGAUCUCGGAUGAAAGUGGGGAUCGCAAGACCUCAUGCUCGUGGAGCGGCCGAUAUCUGAUAGCUAGUUGGUAGGGUAAAAGCCUACCAAGGCAUCGAUCAGUAGCUGGUCUGAGAGGACGACCAGCCACACUGAACUGAGACACGGUCCAGACUCCUACGGGAGGCAGCAGUGGGGAAUUUUGGACAAUGGGCGAAAGCCUGAUCCAGCAAUGCCGCGUGAGUGAAGAAGGCCUUCGGGUUGUAAAGCUCUUUUGUCAGGGAAGAAACGGUGAGGGCUAAUAUCUCUUGCUAAUGACGGUACCUGAAGAAUAAGCACCGGCUAACUACGUGCCAGCAGCCGCGGUAAUACGUAGGGUGCAAGCGUUAAUCGGAAUUACUGGGCGUAAAGCGUGCGCAGGCGGUUUUGUAAGUCUGAUGUGAAAUCCCCGGGCUCAACCUGGGAAUUGCAUUGGAGACUGCAAGGCUAGAAUCUGGCAGAGGGGGGUAGAAUUCCACGUGUAGCAGUGAAAUGCGUAGAUAUGUGGAGGAACACCGAUGGCGAAGGCAGCCCCCUGGGUCAAGAUUGACGCUCAUGCACGAAAGCGUGGGGAGCAAAC
rnacentral:rRNA from 1 species